rnacentral:rRNA from 1 species
GGGCCCGCACAAGCGGUGGAGCAUGUGGUUUAAUUCGAUGCAACGCGAAGAACCUUACCUGGUCUUGACAUACACAGAAUCUUGUAGAGAUACGAGAGUGCCUUCGGGAAUUGUGAUACAGGUGCUGCAUGGCUGUCGUCAGCUCGUGUCGUGAGAUGUUUGGGUUAAGUCCCCGCAACGAGCGCAACCCUUGUCCUUAGUUACCAGCGGGUUAAGCCGGGAACUCUAAGGAUACUGCCAGUGACAAACUGGAGGAAGGCGGGGACGACGUCAAGUCAUCAUGGCCCUUACGACCAGGGCUACACACGUGCUACAAUGGUAGGUACAGAGGGCAGCUACACAGCGAUGUGAUGC